ensembl:lncRNA
UGUGAACACACUGCUGUCACUGUUCUCUGUGUAUCAAACUGAGAGAUAUGACAUCCUGCUGGAUCUGUACUCACAUGUGAAGGACUAUGAGACUCAAACAGGCAGGAGUGUCCUUUUGGCAUUACAGCCAGUUUACCAGUCAGCUCCUGCAGUCUGGUCCAUAGACCUCUCAGAGAGAAAGGCCUCCCUCCUCCUAGAAGUGCUGAAACUCCAACCAGAGAAGAAACCAGUAGAGCUGAAGGGCUGGUCAAAUGAAGAGAGUGAAGUGAGGAGUUUCCUUCAGUGUCUGUCCUACAUCUCACAGCUGAGCGGUGGUGAUGACAGGUUCUUCCAGACUGUGUGUGAAUCCAUCCCUGUGAGGUCCAGAGAGGAGGACCAGCAGUUGGCCUCUCUCCUCCAGGCAUUGGGCUCCACCCUGUCACUGGGAGGAGAGUUACCCAGGAAAACCUGCAGGUCUGUGGGGAGAGUCCUGGGUCUCUGUGCCUCCAGAUUGGACCUCACUCUCACCCCCAGCAAGAUCUCUCUCCAAGGAGCCGCACUUCUU